AAUACAGAGAUCGACAGAAAUACAUCUGUUUUGAAGGCCAACUGACUAAGUUUGGUUUUGGAAUGUGUGAGUCCCAACAAAACAAGUUUCCAGCAUUUUCAUAUAUUGUGUUCCUCAAAAACGUUUUGGGUAUGGUGCCAUAUGGUGCUUUAUACCAACUUUUCAGAUUUAUUAUUGUUUUAAUUAAUUUUACUUUUUAUGUCUUUAAUUUUUAUUUACAUAUGUUCAAAUAUAUAAUAAUACAUAAUUUGCUAUGUUCACAGCUGCAAAAACGUUCAGCAUCCCAACCUUGGACUUAAAAGUCUUUGAUGACUCAAAGACUGAAGUGGAUGAGGAUGUUUUUGAGCUCCUUUUGAAAGGUCCGAACCUUGGUGUGCUAGAGAUUUGUGAAGCACAAAAUCUCAAUCCAGAAGUUUGGUGCCGUGACCCGGACCCCUCGACUGGACAUCCGAGGACGUCGACGAACAGCGUUUGGCCAACCUGGACUAAACUCCAGCCUCAAACCUCGAUUUAAGAGAAGAGGGCUGUUGGUCGGCUCCAUGGCUCCAGCGCUGGGAUCAACGAACUCAAAACCACUGUUAUCAGGUGGGAUACUCACUCAGGCUAACAAAUUAAUUUUACAAAUUCUAAAUUAUUAAAUCUAAAAUAGUGAAGGAUCCGAUAAACCUUUCACCCUGGGGAAUAGAGAUUGGCGGUGUUAAGAGGAAACGUUGGGUUAAAAUCCCACGGGGAAAAUUAAUAAGAAAAAAUAAAAUAUAAAAUAAUAA